GCUGGCGGCGUGCCUCAGACAUGCAAGUCGAACGCGAAAGCCCCUUCGGGGGCAAGUAGAGUGGCGCACGGGUGAGUAACACGUAGGUAAUCUACCUUCGGAUGGGGAAUAACAACCGGAAACGGUUGCUAAUACCGCAUAAUGCAGCGGCACCUAAUGGUGACAGUUGUUAAAGCGGGGGAUCGCAAGACCUCGCGUCUGAAGAGGAGCCUGCGGCGGAUUAGCUAGUUGGUAGGGUAACGGCCUACCAAGGCGACGAUCCGUAGCCGGCCUGAGAGGGCGGUCGGCCACACUGACACUGACAUACGGGUCAGACUCCUACGGGAGGCAGCAGUCGGGAAUUUUGGGCAAUGGGCGAAAGCCUGACCCAGCAACGCCGCGUGAAGGAUGAAAUCCUUCGGGAUGUAAACUUCGCAAGAACGGGAAGAAUAAGUCUGCGC
rnacentral:rRNA from 1 species